UACGUAGGGUGCAAGCGUUGUCCGGAUUUACUGGGCGUAAAGAGCGCGCAGGCGGUCGUCCAAGUCGCGUGUGAAAGCCCCCGGCUCAACUGGGGAGGUCACGCGAUACUGAUCGACUCGAAGGCAGGAGAGGGUAGUGGAAUUCCCGGUGUAGUGGUGAAAUGCGUAGAUAUCUGGAGGAACACCGGUGGCGAAGGCGGCAUCC
rnacentral:rRNA from 1 species